rnacentral:rRNA from 1 species
GAGUUUGAUCAUGGCUCAGGACGAACGCUGGCGGCGUGCCUAACACAUGCAAGUCAAGGGGAAAGCCGAACUUCGGUUUGGCGAGUAUACUGGCGGACGGGUGAGUAACGCGUAGGCAACCUGCCCCUAUGCCUGGGAUAACCUCGAGAAAUCGGGGCUAAUACCGGAUAAGGUUAUUGUAACGCAUGUUAUGAUAAUCAAAGGUACCGCAAGGUACUGCAUAGGGAUGGGCCUGCGUUCCAUUAGCUAGUUGGUGAGGUAACGGCUCACCAAGGCGACGACGGGUAGCUGGUCUGAGAGGAUGAUCAGCCACACUGGCACUGGAACACGGGCCAGACUCCUACGGGAGGCAGCAGUGAGGAAUUUUGCGCAAUGGGCGAAAGCCUGACGCAGCAACGCCGCGUGGGUGAAGAAGGCCUUCGGGUCGUAAAGCCCUGUCAGGUGGGAAGAAGUGGUCAUGAUCUAAGAGGUCAUGGUCUUGACGGUACCACCAGAGGAAGCACCGGCUAACUCCGUGCCAGCAGCCGCGGUAAUACGGAGGGUGCAAGCGUUGUUCGGAAUCACUGGGCGUAAAGGGCGCGUAGGCGGUUGUCUAAGUCGGAUGUGAAAGCCCACGGCUCAACCGUGGAACUGCAUUUGAAACUGGGCGACUUGAGUACGGGAGAGGGAAGUGGAAUUCCAGGUGUAGAGGUGAAAUUCGUAGAUAUCUGGAGGAACACCAGUGGCGAAGGCGGCUUCCUGGACCGAUACUGACGCUGAGGCGCGAAAGCGUGGGGAGCGAACAGGAUUAGA